rnacentral:rRNA from 1 species
ACGGCUCAGUAACACGUGGACAACCUACCCUGAAGAGGGGGAUAACCCCGGGAAACUGGGGAUAAUACCCCAUAGGCUAUGGAUGCUGGAAUGCUCUGUAGUUGAAAGGUUCGCCGCUUCAGGAUGGGUCUGCGGCCGAUUAGGUUGUUGUUGGGGUAACGGCCCAACAAGCCUGUAAUCGGUACGGGUUGUGGGAGCAAGAGCCCGGAGAUGGAUUCUGAGACACGAAUCCAGGCCCUACGGGGCGCAGCAGGCGCGAAAACUUUGCAAUGCGAGCAAUCGUGACAAGGGAACUCCGAGUGCCUGUAAAAUCAGGCUGUCCGCCAGUGUAAAUAACUGGCGAAGAAAGGGCCGGGCAAGACCGGUGCCAGCCGCCGCGGUAAUACCGGCGGCUCGAGUGGUGGCCACUAUUACUGGGCUUAAAGCGUUCGUAGCUGGCUUGUUAAGUCUCUGGGGAAAUCUUCCGGCUUAACCGGAAGGCGUCUCAGGGAUACUGGCAGGCUAGGGACCGGAAGAGGUGAGAGGUACUCCAGGGGUAGGAGUGAAAUCCUGUAAUCCUUGGGGGACCACCUGUGGCGAAGGCGUCUCACCAGAACGGCUCCGACAGUGAGGAACGAAAGCUGGGGGAGCAAACCGGAUUAGAUACCCGGGUAGUCCCAGCUGUAAACGAUGCGCGUUAGGUGUAUCGGUGACCACGAGUCACCGAGGUGCCGAAGAGAAAUCGUGAAACGUGCCGCCUGGGAAGUACGGUCGCAAGGCUGAAACUUAAAGGAAUUGGCGGGGGAGCAC